rnacentral:rRNA from 1 species
UUCGCCCUUAGAGUUUGAUCCUGGCUCAGAUUGAACGCUGGCGGCGUGCUUAACACAUGCAAGUCGAACGCGAAAGGGGGCUUCGGCUCCCGAGUAGAGUGGCGCACGGGUGAGUAACGCGUGGAUAAUCUGCCCUCUUGUUCGGGAUAACUGCUGGAAACGGUCGCUAAUACCGCAUAACAUACGGGAGGGACAUCCCUUUUGUAUCAAAGAUUUAUCGCUCGAAGAUGGGCUCGCGUCCGAUUAGGUAGUUGGUGAGGUAACGGCCCACCAAGCCGACGAUCGGUAGCCGGACUGAGAGGUUGAACGGCCACAUUGGGACUGAGACACGGCCCAGACUCCUACGGGAGGCAGCAGUGGGGGAUAUUGCACAAUGGGGGAAACCCUGAUGCAGCGACGCCGCGUGUAGGAAGACGGUCCUCUGGAUUGUAAACUACUGUCCCCAGGGACGAAGAUGACGGUACCUGGGGAGGAAGCUCCGGCUAACUACGUGCCAGCAGCCGCGGUAAUACGUAGGGAGCGAGCGUUGUCCGGAAUUACUGGGUGUAAAGGGAGCGUAGGCGGGGAUGCAAGUUGGGUGUUAAAUCUACCGGCUCAACUGGUAGUCGCACUCAAAACUGCAGCUCUUGAGUGAAGUAGAGGCAGGCGGAAUUCCUAGUGCAGCGGUGAAAUGCGUAGAUAUUAGGAGGAACACCAGUGGCGAAGGCGGCCUGCUGGGCUUUUACUGACGCUGAGGCUCGAAAGUGUGGGGAGCAAACAGGAUUAGAUACCCUGGUAGUCCACACCGUAAACGAUGAUUACUAGGUGUGGGGGGUCUGACCCCCUCCGUGCCGGAGCAAACGCAAUAAGUAAUCCACCUGGGGAGUACGGCCGCAAGGUUGAAACUCAAAGGAAUUGACGGGGGCCCGCACAAGCAGUGGAGUAUGUGGUUUAAUCCGAAGCAACGCGAAGAACCUUACCAAGUCUUGACAUCUGGAUGACAGGGACGUAACGGUCCCCUUACUUCGGUACAUCCAAGACAGGUGGUGCAUGGUUGUCGUCAGCUCGUGUCAUGAGAUGUUGGGUUAAGUCCCGCAACGAGCGCAACCCUUAUCUUCAGUAGCCAGCAGGUAAAGCCGGGCACUCUGGAGAGACUGCCGGGGAUAACCCGGAGGAAGGUGGGGAUGACGUCAAAUCAUCAUGCCCCUUAUGAUUUGGGCUACACACGUGCUACAAUGGCGUAAACAGAGGGAAGCGAGCCCGCGAGGGGGAGCAAAUCCCAAAAAUAACGUCCCAGUUCGGAUUGUAGUCUGCAACCCGACUACAUGAAGCUGGAAUCGCUAGUAAUCGCGGAUCAGAAUGCCGCGGUGAAUACGUUCCCGGGUCUUGCACUCACCGCCCGUCA